UAGGGAAUCUUCGGCAAUGGACGAAAGUCUGACCGAGCAACGCCGCGUGAGUGAAGAAGGUUUUCGGAUCGUAAAACUCUGUUGUUAGAGAAGAACAAGGACGUUAGUAACUGAACGUCCCCUGACGGUAUCUAACCAGAAAGCCACGGCUAACUACGUGCCAGCAGCCGCGGUAAUACGUAGGUGGCAAGCGUUGUCCGGAUUUAUUGGGCGUAAAGCGAGCGCAGGCGGUUUCUUAAGUCUGAUGUGAAAGCCCCCGGCUCAACCGGGGAGGGUCAUUGGAAACUGGGAGACUUGAGUGCAGAAGAGGGGAGUGGAAUUCCAUGUGUAGCGGUGAAAUGCGUAGAUAUAUGGAGGAACACCAGUGGAGAAGGCGGCUCUAUGGUCUGUAACUGACGCUGAGGCUAGAAAGCGUGGGGAGCAAACAGG
rnacentral:rRNA from 1 species